UGGAUCCAGACUUUGAUUAUGGCUCAGGAUGAACGCUGGCGGCGUGCCUAACACAUGCAAGUCGAACGGGGACAGGAUGAAACCUAGUGAUUCCUGUCUUAGUGGCGGACGGGUGAGUAACGCGUGGGUAACCUGCCUUGUACUGGGGGAUAACACCUGGAAACAGGUGCUAAUACCGCAUAAGCGCACAGGACCGCAUGGUCUGGUGUGAAAAACUCCGGUGGUACAAGAUGGACCCGCGUCUGAUUAGCCAGUUGGGGGGGUAACGGCCCACCAAAGCGACGAUCAGUAGCCGGCCUGAGAGGGUGAACGGCCACAUUGGGACUGAGACACGGCCCAAACUCCUACGGGAGGCAGCAGUGGGGAAUAUUGCACAAUGGGGGGAACCCUGAUGCAGCAACGCCGCGUGAGUGAAGAAGUGAUUCGUUAUGUAAAGCUCUAUCAGCAGGGAAGAAAAUGACGGUACCUGAGUAAGCAGCCCCGGCUAACUACGUGCCAGCAGCCGCGGUAAUACGUAGGGGGCAAGCGUUAUCCGGAUUUACUGGGUGUAAAGGGAGCGUAGACGGCCACGCAAGUCUGAAGUGAAAUGCCAGUGCUCAACACUGGAACUGCUUUGGAAACUGUGAGGCUGGAGUGCAGGAGAGGUAAGUGGAAUUCCUAGUGUAGCGGUGAAAUGCGUAGAUAUUAGGAGGAACACCAGUGGCGAAGGCGGCUUACUGGACUGUAACUGACGUUGAGGCUCGAAGUCGUGGGGAGCAAACAGGAUUAGAUACCCUGGUAGUCCACGCGGUAAACGAUGAUUACUAGGUGUCGGGGGGUUAUAACCCUUCGGUGUCGCCGCAAACGCAAUAAGUAAUCCACCUGGGGAGUACGUUCGCAAGAAUGCAACUCAAAUGAAUUGACGGA
rnacentral:rRNA from 1 species